rnacentral:rRNA from 1 species
AUUUGGGGAUUAAUAAAUUUAUAUUUAAUAAAAAUAAUUUUAAUUUAAUAAAUAUUUUAAUGGGGGUUAAAGUAUUUUUUAAAGAAAAAAUUUUUAAUUUUAUAGUAUAAUAGUAUUGUGUAAGAAUUUUGAAAUAAUUGAAAAUUUAAUUUUAAUAAAGUAAUUUUUAUUUGAUGUAUCUUGUGUAUCAGAGUUUAUUUAAAUUUUUAAUUUUUAAAUUAAUUUCUCGAAUUUAAAAGAGUUAAAUAAUUAUUAAAUUUAUUGUUGCAAAAAUAUUUUAAAUAAUUAUUUAGAAAUGAAAUGUUAAUCGUUUUUAAAUAUAUCUAGUUUUUAUAGAAAAAAUUUUAAUUUUAAAUUUAAUUUUAUUAUUAAUUAAUUAAUUAAUUAAAUAAUUAUUUAAAUUUUAUAUUUUAAGGGAUAAGCUUUAAAUUAAAUUUUUAUAAUAAAAAAUAUUUAUUUUUGAAAAUUUUAUAAUUUAUAUUGUUAAUAAAUUUUAUUUUAUUAUAAAUAAUUUCAUUUUAUUAAAAAAUUUAAAUUUUUAUUUAAUUUUUUAUAUAAAAUUUAUUUUUAAUUAUUAAAAAUUAAUUAUAAUGAUAAAAUUAGUAUAUUAUAUUUUAAAAAUUAUUUUUAAUUUGAAUUUUAUUAUUUAAUUUAAUUAAUUAAAAGGAAUUCGGCAAAUAUUUAUUUUCACUUGUUUAUCAAAAACAUGUCUUUUUGUUGAUUUAUUUAAAGUCUAAUCUGCCCACUGAUUUUAAUUGAAGGGCUGCAGUAUUUUGACUGUACAAAGGUAGCAUAAUCAUUAGUCUCUUAAUUGGUGACUUGUAUGAAAGAUUGGAUGAGAAAUAUACUGUCUCUUAAUUAAUGUGUAGAAUUUAAUUUUUUAUUUAAAAAGUUAAAAUAAAUUAAAAAGACGAGAAGACCCUAUAGAGUUUAAUAAAUUUUUUUAUGAUAAUUUUAUUUGUAUUAAAUUGAAAUAAUUUUAUAAAUUUAUUUAUUUUAUUGGGGUGAUAGAAAAAUAAAUUUAACUUUUUUUAAAGAAUUUAACAAAAAUAUAUGAUUAAAUGAUCCAGUUUAUUAUUGAUUAAAAGAUUAAAUUACCUUAGGGAUAACAGCGUAAUUUUUUUUUUUAGUUCGAAUAAUAAAAAAAGUUUGCGACCUCGAUGUUGGAUUAAGAUAAAAUUUAAAUGUAAAAGUUUAAAAUUUUGAUCUG